rnacentral:piRNA from 1 species
CCAAUGUGAAGACUACAGCACUC